rnacentral:lncRNA from 1 species
GCGCUGCCUGCCCGCUCCUCUUGCUCUGCCCCAUCCCCUGCAACAGACCACAAGGUACAAGACGAUGAUGAGACCGAGAGAACAGCCGCUCUCGGGUGUCUGUGACCCGCAAGGCGACCGCGGAGAGCACACACCGAUUGCCCAUUCCUCGUAGGCAAUUAGCUGAUUGCUGCCCGCCCGCAGCCGCAGCCAGCGAGCGAGGAGCGCGCAGGAUCUCGCUGCCUGCCCACCUCUCCUGCAAACAGAGGCACGUUCUCUGACUUUGAUAGCUCCCUGGGUUCCCGUGAAAAACAACCGCUGCGUUUCCAGAGCGUGUUUCUCAAAUACCAGCAUCAGGGGAUCGCAGAAUUACAGCAACAAAUGUUACGAGGGUACUUCCUGAAGGCAGCCAACAUUUCUCAAGCGACUGUAGAAGAUUUGGGGUUGGUCCACCACCUCUGCGAGUGCUCCUCUCAAACCCAUUCUCCAUAUUGAGUUCAUUCAUUGAUAUAUAUAUAUUUUUUAGUUGUAGUUGGACACAAUACCUUUACUUUUAUUUAUUUAU